rnacentral:lncRNA from 1 species
GGACGAGCGAGCUGCUGUGUCUCCACGUGCUUCAACUUCCUCUUGCCUAAAAUGCAAACGGUGAUAACCGUACCCCCAACAAUAAGGGUGGUUGUGAAUAUCAAACAAGUUAAUACAAGCCCCAGAGUUCAAGGUGACAGACCUGCAGUCUUCCCUGCUAAAGUCCUUGAAAAUGACAAAGGAAAAGGACUGUAGCUUCUUGUCACUCAAAGCAUGAUCCAGAUCCCACAGCACGGACGUCACCUUUGAACUUGGUAGAAAUGCAGAAGCUCAGACUCCUGUCCAGACGUAUGACUCAGAACCUGCAUUUUUAACUAGAUCCCAGGCCCAGUGGAAGUACGAAGGGACACGAAGGGGCACAUUCUUCUCUCCCGCCCCCGCCAUUCCCCAGUCCUCAUUCCAGCCAGCAGGACACGUGACAAGGCUCUGUGCAGGCUUCUUGGCCAUGGUUUCUGUUUCUCUUUGUCACAGGCUUUUGCUGAAAGCUACGGACAGAUUAUGGAUUGGCCUGGGUGUGAGUGCAGAGGCGCAAGAGGACCUGGUCUGAAAACUCUUCUCCUGUGAGAAGAGAGUCAGUGGGAGAGAAAGCGGACCAGAGGCAAUCAACCAGAGAGAGAGCAGUGAACAACAAUGGGCCAUGUAUCACACAGAAAGAUGCUGCUAAAGACAGCCUUCCCCUGGAAUCAGCAUUCAGCAAAAACUUUAAUUAGCUCAAGGCACUCCCACCCGGUAGUAUGUUCCAGAAUCUUGGUGCGAGGACAUUUGUAAUUUGCAAAAGUAAGUUCAAUAUUACAAGAUAAUUUUAUUUUUGGAAGGCAAACAAACAAAAGGAACCUCUAUUGUUUUAUACCAUAAACUAAAGGAAAUAAAGUUAGAUAAAAUCUUCCUGGCUGUGGGAUGUACAAAUGUUCUG